rnacentral:rRNA from 1 species
GAUGAACGUUGGCGGCGUGCUUAACACAUGCAAGUCGAACGAUGAAGCCCAGCUUGCUGGGUGGAUUAGUGGCGAACGGGUGAGUAACACGUGAGUAACCUGCCCUUAACUCUGGGAUAAGCCUGGGAAACUGGGUCUAAUACCGGAUAGGAGCGUCCACCGCAUGGGGGGUGUUGGAAAGAUUUAUCGGUUUUGGAUGGACUCGCGGCCUAUCAGCUUGUUGGUGAGGUAAUGGCUCACCAAGGCGACGACGGGUAGCCGGCCUGAGAGGGUGACCGGCCACACUGGGCCUGAGACACGGCCCAGACUCCUACGGGAGGCAGCAGUGGGGAAUAUUGCACAAUGGGCGCAAGCCUGAUGCAGCGACGCCGCGUGAGGGAUGACGGCCUUCGGGUUGUAAACCUCUUUCAGUAGGGAAGAAGCGAAAGUGACGGUACCUGCAGAAGAAGCACCGGCUAACUACGUG